rnacentral:rRNA from 1 species
UACGUAGGGUGCGAGCGUUAAUCGGAAUUACUGGGCGUAAAGCGUGCGCAGGCGGUUCGUUGUGUCGGCGGUGAAAGCCCCGGGCUUAACCUGGGAAUGGCCGUUGAAACUGGCGAACUGGAGUGUGGCAGAGGGGGGUGGAAUUCCGCGUGUAGCAGUGAAAUGCGUAGAGAUGCGGAGGAACACCGAUGGCGAAGGCAGCCCCCUGGGCUGACACUGACGCUCAUGCACGAAAGCGUGGGGAGCAAACAGG